UGAGCAGAAACACAGAGAAGUCCAGGGAAGUAAUGGAAUCUAACUGAAAAUUAUCUCUAGAUGUCGGGACUGGGGAACACUGUCUGGUGUGUGUGUGUGUGUGAGUGUGUGUGUGUGUGUGUGUGUGUGCUUAGUCCCUAGAAGGUGCUGGAGACCUUGGUGGAGGUGACAGGUGUUUCCUAUCUUCGGUGAUGAGCCCUGGUGUAUUUAAACAGGAGGCAGCCAGCAUUUCAUCGCUCGAGUGUUAGCCUUCUGUGACCGGUGACUAUCUGGAUGUUACCCAGGCUGACCCGACAGACUGCUUCCCUAAGCUUACUCGGUUUCAGACUGUUGAAGAACCUGAGCUUCUCAGAUGCUUCGCUGCUACUGAUCUACUGGAUCACUCCUGCUGGCUGCCUCCAGGCAACUCUUGCCUCACACCGAUUCCGCAGAACCUGUCCACCCUCCACCGUUCUCAAGCAACCCAGCCCCGGCAUUGUUCGACCAGGGACCAUUGCCCACUCUGUGUACUAGGUGCUCUCGUACUUACCACACGGUGCUCCUCAUUAUGGUCAGCCCGAGUCCCUCUCCUCCUGGCGGAGUUCACACCCGGCCUACCGCUGCUGCGUACCAGAGCCACCCUGUAUUCCUGAACACAAUAAAACGUAUUACAAACUUU